GUCUACGGCCAUGCCACUCUGAAUAAGCCCAAUCCCAUCUGAUCUCAGAUGCUAUCAGGUUGGGCCUCUUUAGUACUUGGAUGGAAGACCACCUAGGAAGAGCAGGUGCUGUAGGUA
rnacentral:rRNA from 1 species